rnacentral:lncRNA from 1 species
UAGAAUAAAAGUAUGUGAAUUACAGAAUAAUAUGGGUAAGGAUGAAAUUAAGGCUGCAGAAUGUAUUUCUAAUAGCAAUGUAUGUUCCUGUGGAUGUACAAGUGAGAAUAAAAAAGAUAAAUUUUGAUGUGACUUGAAUGAUUUCAUAAAUGAUGGUGGUGACACUGAGUGAGUAUUGUGACAGGAGAUUUGAGUAGCAGAGUUGAUGUGAAGGAGGAUGGUUGGGAAAUACGGUGAUUUAUAAUAAAUGACAAUGGUAUUCAAAAUUAUUCAAAAAUUGCUUUUUAACUCUAGUCCAUGUAAAAAUAAAUAGCACUAAUAAACAAUAUAAUAAAUAUUAUUUCUUAUUUAUGAGAAAUAAUGUACAGAGAGAGCAGUGGAAUAUGAUUGUGUGGAUCUGACAGAUGAUGUGUACAGGCUUGAGCCUACUGCGGUUCUGUGGUAGGUGCAUAGGUAAGAACAGCAAGCUAAGAGUGACUCUCGACACAACAAAGAGACUAUACUAUGGUUCACAUAAACCUGAGAUCUUUACUGAGAGAGAGAGAGAGAGAGUGGUAUUAUUUACACAAUGUCUAUGGAGGGCAAAUACCUUUCUUUUGCCAAAGAUGCACAGUUUCUUACUAAUCCAUCGACAGAAUUCAAAUAAAAGUCUUUAGUCCAAUUAUAACAAUCUUUAGUCCUUUUUUUCUUUUAAAUGUAGAUUUUUCCAUGUCAAAUCAUGUAGAAUCACAACAAUUGUCGCUUGAUUUACUUCUUAAUUCUAAUCUUCUUAAGUCAAAGGCAUUUUGAGCAGGUUCGAAGUCAGGUUGGCGGAGAAAUGGUGACUCUUCUGGGGAUGAUUUAUCCGCCUUACUCUCUCUGUUAGUUCUCUGGUUUCUUCUCGCAUUUGCUCCCUUCCUUCAUUUUCCAAUGUCUAUAUAUACCUUUUUUUGGCAUCUGCUAUUGCAGAUUUCCUGUGGUUAGGAGCAUAUUUAAUCCAAUAAUUAGCAAAUGUUCCAUGUUAAUCUAACUUCUCUUUUUCCUGUU